GCAUGACUGAAUACUGUAUUCUUUCUAUCAAUAUUUAUACAGUCAGGCACCAGGCAAAAGUAAAGUUUUCCCUUGCAAUGGUUUAUCAUUACUAACAGUGAGUACACAU